CCUACGGGGCGCAGCAGGCGCGAAAACUUUACAAUGCGGGAAACCGUGAUAAGGGGACACCGAGUGCUAGCAUCAUAUGCUAGCUGUCCAGGCGUGUAAAAUACACCUGUUAGCAAGGGCCGGGCAAGACCGGUGCCAGCCGCCGCGGUAACACCGGCGGCCCGAGUGGUAAUCGUGAUUAUUGGGUCUAAAGGGUCCGUAGCCGGUUUGGUCAGUCCUCCGGGAAAUCUGAUAGCUCAACUAUUAGGCUUUCGGGGAUACUGCC
rnacentral:rRNA from 1 species